GUGGGGUAGUUCAAUUUGGUUAGAACAAUAGAAUCAUAAUCUAUAUGGUGUAGGUUCAAGUCCUACCCUCACUAG
rnacentral:tRNA from 1 species